rnacentral:rRNA from 1 species
GACGAACGCUGGCGGCGUGCCUAACACAUGCAAGUCGAACGGGGGUAUGAAUAAUACCCAAGUGGCGAACGGGUGAGUAACACGUGAACAACCUGACCUUUAGAGGGGGAUAACAUUCGGAAACGGAUGCUAAUACCGCAUAAGACCACACUGCCACAUGGCAGAGAGGUCAAAGGAGCAAUCCGCUAGAGGAGGGGUUCGCGUCCCAUUAGAUAGUAGGCGGGGUAACGGCCCACCUAGUCAGCGAUGGGUAGCCGAGCUGAGAGGCUGAUCGGCCACACUGGAACUGAGACACGGUCCAGACUCCUACGGGAGGCAGCAGUGGGGAAUAUUGGGCAAUGGGGGAAACCCUGACCCAGCAACGCCGCGUGAGGGAAGAAGGCCUUCGGGUUGUAAAGCUCUUUUGUCAGGGAAGAAACGACUCCUUCUAAUACAGGGAGUUAAUGACGGUACCUGAAGAAUAAGCACCGGCUAACUAC